GAAGAAAAAUGGCAGCUUGCAGCUUCAAAAAUCUCACUGGAACAAUCCUUUCAAUUUACGUUUUAUUUUGUAUGUACAACUCCAUUAGUAUUUAGCCUUUUUGCACAUGGCACAAACUUCUUUUGAAUUAUAGAUUUUAUGAUAAAUGGUCAUGACAUAACUUAUAAUGUAGCCGAAGAUGAGGGCUUUAGUUUAUUAUAGGAUUAAACACAUUUUUAGCACGUUGCCCGAAGGGCCAAGUGAGCUUAUGCCAUCACUUGGCGUCCGUCGUCUGUCGUCGUAAACUAUUUCAAGAAUCUUCUCCUCAGAAACUACUAGGCCAAAUACUUCCAAACUUUAACUGAAUGUUCCUUAGGGUAUCUAGUUUAUAAAAUUGUAUCCGAAGUUUUGAUCUAUCAACAAAAUGGUCGCCAUUGCUAAAAAUAGAAAUAGGGGUCAAAUGCAGUUUUUGCUUAUCUCAAAAACGAAAGCAUUUAGAGCAAAUCUGACAUGGGGUAAAAAUGUUCUUUAGAUCAAGAUCUAUCAGCCCUGAAAUUUUCAGAUGAAUCAAACAACCCAUUGUUGGUUGCUGCCACUUAAUUUGGUAAUUUUAAGGAAUUUUGCAGUUUUGGUCAUUAUCUUGAUAUUAUUAAGAUAAAGAUAACUGUAAACAGCAAAAAUGAUCAGCAAAGUAAGAUCUACAAAUAAGUUAAUAUGACCAAAAAUUGUCAAUUGACCCCUUAAGGGGUAUUGUCUUUAAUGACAAUUUUUCACAAUUGUUCAUAUUUUGCUACUUAAAAAAUCUUCUCCUCUAGAACUACUCACAAAUCAACCAAACUUAACUGAAUGAUCGUAGGGUGUCUAAAAUAAAGUUUGUGUUUUAUUUUCAUUUCGCAAAAAACAUGGCCGUCAUGCUAAAAUAGAACACAGGGUAAAUGCAGUUUUGGCUUUAUCUCAAAAACUCCAGCAUUUAGAGCAAUAAGACAAGAAGUUAAAGUAUUUAUUAGGUCAAGGUCUACUGUCCUGAAAUUUCAGCCGAAAUUGGUAAUCUGUUUUCAGGUACAAUGUAUAAUGCCCCUGAAUUGAUGAUUUAAAGAAAUUUUGCAGUGUUGGUAUUAUCUGUUUAUUUAAUACAGAUAACUGUUAAUAGCAAUUGUAUUGUGAAUCAUCAGAUGACCUAGACUGUAUCUUGAAUCAGUGUAGGGCGAAUCAUGCCCAUUUCUUUCCAGAGGUUCCUAAGAGCUUAAAAGGUAUUUCCAGGAUAGUACAUGGCUUGUUACUCUGUUAAUUACAACAAACAUUAAUUUUAUUAAUAGUGAAUAGGCAUUGUUUACCAGGUGACAAUCAGGCUCUUGAGAGCUCUUGUUUAUAGAGGUUAUUGAUGUGUAAACCGGGGCGAUUAACUCACAAACUGAAUAAAAGUCCGAAGGAAUUUUAUGUUACGUUUGUGAGUAACAGCCCCGGUUUACACAUCAAUAACCUCUAGAAAAAAUGUGUUUAAUCCUUAUAAUUCUUCAGCCAAACAUUUCCGAUGUUUAAGAAACAUUUUUUGUUUGAUGGCUACGAUAUUUACCAUCAAAUGCACACUGGCAUGUCGGACUAAGGAGUACGCAGCCAUCUUGACUUUGUAGAAACCAUAAAUGUCCGAUAAAUGCAACAGAAUCUAAAAUGAUAUAGCACCUACCUCAAAAACUUCAUUUUAAUUAGUUAUUUUCCGAAUUUGAAGUGUACGAUAACGAAAUAAUCUUUCGUUUGAAAGUUUUCCUUUGUAUGACGUCGUAUUUUGCCAUGACGUAAUUUCGCCAAAACAUUCGUGAAAUUUCCCGUAAUUUUAUAUGAAUUUAAAUUUUAUGUACAUUUUUAAAGUUUAAAGGCAUUUUUUCUUUUAUGUUUUAUAUGCAUUAAAAUAGAAACAAGUAAACUUUUAUGUUUUUUGUUUUUCAAUCUCAAUCUGCUGAAAAUCCCAGGAUCCCUGCAUGUAUGUGUAUUGCGCAGUGAAGUUUAUGAAAGUAGUUUUGGAAGCAUGGUUUAUUAAAGUGUAAACCAAAGGAAAAAUAUGUAAUUGACCAAUCCCGUUCAAGUAUUUAUAGAUAUGCAAAUCAUAUAAGAAUUAUAAGUUUAUAAAAAUUAAACUGCACCAGAGGCAGAAGUUAGCAGAACAAAGUUACAAACUGCUUUUAAACUAUUUUAUAAUUAAUUCUAUUGAAACAACGUUUGUACAGUGUUCUCCCCAGGUCGUUCUAGCGUCGUGGCACUGUGACACCAAAUUUUUCCCCCCUGAUGCUAUAAUUCUGCAAUGCUAUAAUUAUUUUAAGGAUGCUUUUUUUUCUUGUCUCUAUCGUAAAACCAUGUCCGAAAUUUUGAACUUUCAUCUAAUUACCGCUUGUGAUCAUAAAAAUUAUAUCCCCUUUAAUUGUAAUUCCCUGAAGUUGGUCAAUAGAGUCAAUUUAGAGUGAUUAAAAAGGUGUUAAUUGCCCUUUGGGUGAUAACUGUUGGGAUGUAUACCAAUACCCCAAGCUGACACUUGUGACUUGAAUUAUACCACGUGGUCCAAUCGUAAAUUUCGACAUGCAGAAAAUGUAUACAGAAAAUCAUAAAAAAGUCAAAAUUUAUGUUUGCAUUAUGAAAAUUUCAAAGAUACAAACGAUUUAUCUCUUUAAAAAGAGGUUUGGUCAUGUCGGUCGUAUAUUUUUACUACUUCAACAAAUUACUUCCAUUCCCUUCCGGUACUACUUGUUAAUCAAGAGCGUAUAAAUGGUAUAUAAACAUUUUGAUUUUGAUCUAAAUAAGUUUGAUACUUCCUUAGAAAGUUAUCAUCAUUGGCUUUUGUUGAUGUUUCAUCCCUUUAAUGCAUUAAAAGCGUCAUGUGCAUUCCAAUCUCUUUUCAAACAUUGUUUUUUUUUCGUAAAUUUUCCUCCAACAGACAUUGAAAUAUUUGUGUAAAUUUAAGACUGGAACUGGGCCAGAUAUGACAAAAGUCCGCAUUUUUUCAAUAAUAACUACAGAUGCACAAGUUAUGGCACAGUAGACAGAAAAAAAUAUCUAAAAAGAGGAAACUACGCAUUCCAAACACAUUAAUUGACUAAUUGUUAGUUCUUCUUACUAAAUGUAUUAUUUUUGAAAAUGUAUUGUUUCAAUAUCAUUUUGACAUAAAGAAACAACCGGGACUAAUUCAUUGAGUACCAUGAAACAAUGAAUUUCAUAGACAUGACAAAGAUUUUUUUUUUAAUUCUUUAUGAUACUUUCUCUUGCCCAGUUUAUUUAAAAUUCAUUCAUUCAAUAGUUGGGUAGGUAGGGUAAUUAGAACCACACAUAUAUUUAUAUUUGGCCCAAGAGGAAAAAAAAUAAUUCUGUAACUAUAAAUAAAUAUAGAAAACAUAAAUCGAAACAACUGUUUAUCAUGCCAUGGGUAUAUACUUUAAUUGUAUAGAGUUUUUUUUUUUAACCCAAAUGUGAUGCUACCCACAAUUUCUGGGGAGAAAAUUAGUUUGUAACCUUCAUUUUGAUUGGAUAACUUCACUAAUUUUCAUGGCAAUGUACGUGCAAGCCAAACAAUAUAUGACAGAUUUUAAAUGCAUGUUUUAACGUUGUUUUCUGUCAGCUUCAUUAGAAUGGUGAUAACAAUAUUGUAUUUUUUAUGCUCUGACGGCAUCAAUUUGUGAUUUGAUGGUCGCAAAUACCUGUUUACUGUCUCCACUAACUCGUCCCCAGUAAACUUAAUUUGCAACCAUCAAAUCACCAAUUGAUGCCAUCGGAGCUUGAAAUACAAUACAUUUAUCUCCUAAUUUCAUGACAGGGUCUCCUUAGUUAAGGUAAUUUAGAUAUAAGAAAAUUAUUUUAGAGAAAUGAAAUCAAAAUAUGAAAUAUUUCAAAUAGAUAAGCAUAGAAACAGUGUUUGUUUUAAUUAUCAUAGGCAGAUCCAGGGGGAAAAGGGGGAGGGGCUGGGGGUAGGGGUGCAUCUCUGAUUAUUUUAUUGUACUGAUGGAAGGAAAUAAACAUUUGUUCAAGAAAAGAACUGUUUAUAUGUAUAUAGUGAACAUGGUGUAUAAGUGAAUGAAUAUAUAGGAAAAGGAGGGAUGAUUACAUAUUACUCAUUUUUAUAUGACAGCUAAAAGUGUUUUGCGUCGUAUAAUGCUAUCAUGUCUGUGUCAUCGUUGUCUUCUGAAGAAAAAGGUUUUUGAAUUAGGGGCAAAAAAAAGGGGAAAACUAGGUUUUUCUGGUCAAUGGACAAUUAAGACAAUUAAAAGCAUGUAGGGAGGUAAUUCAGAAACAUUUAACAUACAAUGUUAGGUAUAUUUUCGGAUUUACCUCCCUUACACUACUUGUAAAUUAUGUAUAAUAAAAGGUCAGGUUUUGGACUAAUUGCAAAAAAAGGGGCAUGGUGUUAGUUUUCAAAUUUUGUUUUCCAAAUUUUUCCAAUUCCAAAUUUUUGAAAAGUUUGAAGAAGAAAUCUUUAAUUACACAAUAUUACGCAAUAAAUUUGUAAGAUCUUGACAUUUGUUUUGUGUGAGAAACCCAUAUUAUAUCAAAAUUUUGAUCACAAUCCAAAUUCAGAGCUGUAUCAAUCUUUACUGUUGUGUCCAUCCUUGCCCCAACUGUUCAGGGUUCGACUGCGGUCGUAUAAAGCUGGGCCCUACGGAGCACCUGGUUGAGUUUAGGAAAUUGUUUAUAAGCCUUGAAAAUGAAAAGAUUAAAUUUGAAUCAUGCAAAGUCGAGUUUUGCAUUUGCGCCGAUCUUCAUUUUAUUUGCGCCAAUUUUUUCUUUCAUUUGCACCAAAUUUUUCUUUUCAUUUGCGCUGAUUUUCUACAGGUAAAUUAAAGGUGAAUAUUAUUUUUCAUUCUUCAUUAUGGACCUCUUCCUUUAGCCAGUUGUACAAAUGAUAUGAAUUGUCAAUCAUAACAUGUAUAUGACUGUUGUCCUCUGCUCACCACGGGGAGGUGAAAGUAGGAUAAAUCAAUUUAAAAUCAAGAAGUAAAAACCUAAGAUAAAAGCACUCUGUUUAUACUAAAAUGACGAAUUAAACAUUUAUUUACUACAUUAAAAUCCAUAAAAAAGAAUACAUUAGAAUCAUUAAUCUGUUCUUGCUGAGUAUUUAUGGGCAACACAUCUAAUAUAUUCCCUUCUUCUCUUUCGUCUCUUUUUGAUUUGUCGUAAUUGUCAAUAAAAAAGUCCAUCUUUUCUUUCUCUGGCUUAUGUACUGAUGCGGCCAUUUCUAGAGUUCCCAAUUUAACAUACGUACCGGCCAAAAGUGAACAACACUUAUAACCAAAUUAUACCAAUAUACAUGUACCUUCAAGGUAUAGAGCAUGUACAAGUAUUUCCUCACCUGUGUUUAAACCAUAAAUGCAAUAGACACUUUGAUUCGAUGCAUUUCCGUAAAAAAAUCUGGUUUUAGUGAACCUCAUUUGCAUUUAGGGGCGUCGUCACUUCCAUUCCAAUGUUGAGCGAGUGGCUGGAAAACUAUAAUUCUAUAUUGUGUGAAUUAUUCGGCAAAUUGAUUAUCAAAAUUGACAAUCAAGCACUGCUGUCAUUAGGGAAUUGUCAGUAAGUACCUACAGAGCAACCAUUUUUCUAGUUUAUCCUGCACAAUGACGAUCUCUAAGACGCUUGAUGAAGGUGAGUAUUUAUGGGCAACACAUCUAAUAUAUUCCCUUCUUCUCUUUCGUCUCUUUUUUGAUUUGUCGAUUGUCAAUAAAAAAGUCUCUUUCUUCUCUGGCUUAUGUACGAUGCGGCCAUUUCUAGAGUUCCAAUUUACAUACUACCGGCAAAAGUGAACAACACUUAUAACCAAAUUAUACCAAUAUACAUGUACCUUCAAGGUAUAGAGCAUAUACAAGUAUUUCCUCACCUGUGUUUAAACCAUAAAUGCAAUAGACAACUUUUGAGUUCGAUGCUUUUCCGUAAAAAAAUCUGGUUUUAGUGAACCUUUGCUUUAGGGGCGUCGUCACUCCAUUCCAAUGUGAGCGAGUGGCUUGAAACGAAAUUCUAUAGUUGUUGUGAAUUAUUCGGCAAAUUGAAUUCUCAAUAUUGACAAAUCAACACUGCUUUCAUUAGGAAUUGUCAGUAAGUACCUACAGAGCAAUCAUUAUUUCUAGUUUAUCCUGCACAAUACGAUCUCUAGACGCUUGAUGAAGGUAAAUAGUGCAGGGAUACAGGCGACCCCCUCUAUCUGGUAAAUGACGUCAUAAAGGCGUGCAUAAUUGACGAUUUUUGCCGGUGACGAAUGAACUCGAAAGUGGUCUAUUAGGAGCAGAUGUAAAAUCAGCGCAAAUGAAAGAAUGACAAUUUUAAAAAUCUGCGCAAAUGUCAUACGCCCAUGAAAAGGAUAUAUUUUGGCACAAUGAAGCCAUUUAAUUACCAAGCCACCUUGACAUUUUGUUUUCAUAUCAGUUAUAUUUGAUCAUUACCUGAUAUUUAUUGAAUACAUUUUAAUUAAAUUUUUAUUACAAAGUUGCUUCAUAUAUAUUAAUAGUUUAAGAAAAAAACAAAAAGUUUUUUUUAAAAUAAGGUUUAAUUUCUUUGUUUAACAUGUUUAAACAUAUUAAAGAAAAAUAAUCUCAAACUGAAUUCUGACUUUUUAUCCUCUGACUUUUUGUCUUUGACCUUUGUCUGUAACUUUUCGUCCUGUGACUUUCUGUCCUACAUUCUAAUUUAUAUGUUCUUUAAGCCUGAGGUUAAUCAAAAAGCCAGCCCACCCUUUUUCUGGGAAAAAUUUGGUUGAUUAUAUAGGGAAUCACUGAAGCAUGACAGGAGUGGCCCCCUCUUAGGCAGUCAUUUGGGCCCCCACAGUUUAAUUUUCAAAUUUCAAAUGGGAGGCUUGCUAGAGCAUUUUAAAUAUUUAAGAAUUAACUGAGAGUGGAUAAAUAUCGUAUUACACAAGAUUUGGUGGUGUAAUCAGUUUCUCUAAUGAUUUUUAUGCAGUAUGCGGGCAAACUUUUUCCUUUUCCUAAAAAGAUGUGUUCUAUGUGUCCUCAUCAGGCAUGGUCGCCUUUUUUCAUGAUGUCACAAUAGGAAAUUCUGAAGAAAGCAAGAAAAUUUGACGUCAUAAUCGAAUUUCCACCAAUGAACAGCUGAGAUCAGGUGUUGAUUAAACAAAAAUAAUCAACAGGUUAGGAAAUCAAUAAAUCGGCUAAAAAUUGGAGAAAAGAAUUUAUCGGGUCAAUAAAAUUCAUAUAUGGUGUCGCCAAACAGGAUAUGAAUUUAAUUGACCAGAUAAAUUCCGUAUUAGGACAAUUGCACACUGUGUAACGAAUUUAUCCUGAUUUUAUUAUAUUACAUAUUGUUGGAAGAUAAUUCUAAUUGACUUAAUAAAAAUUUGUACUGAAAUUUUUUUAGACAAUAUCGGCCAAUCAAAUUGCGAGAAAUUACUCUAAAUCAGGAUAAUAUAUUUUAUACAGUUAAAAAUGUUUUAAGCAUAUAUAUAUCUAAAAUUAUAAUUGUUUGACUGGUGAUAUUUGAUAUGAAAUCAAUUUGUGACUUAUGACAACAGAACUAAUAUCAUGAAUAUUGUACUUGUUCAUAUCAAUUACUAUUUUAUUAUAGUGUCACCAUUAUUGGUUUCAUCAGUAAUGCAGACCAAUUGUAAACCAGAUAAUAAGAUGGAUAAUGCUAGAGUGACUAUCAUAAAUAACACUACAAAACCUGGAGUGUCAUCUUUAGAUCUGCUUGUCUCUACCAUCACAGAGGAAUGUUAUACU
rnacentral:lncRNA from 1 species